rnacentral:rRNA from 1 species
AUGUCCAAGACUAAGCCAUGCACGUCUAAGUACAAACUAAAUGAUGGUGAAACUGCAAAUGGCUCAUUACAACGGUUAUGAUGUACCCGGGAGUUCCGAUGGAUAUUUCCAGUAACACUAGAACUAAUACAUGUCCCUGCGUUUAUUAGUUUCGCACAGUCCGUCGCUGAGUCAUGGUAAACAGUUGAUCGACUCGACGUCCCGGAACAGUUUCCGCCCCAUCAGCUUCGAUGGUUGGGUAUUGACCUACCAUUGCAACAACGGGUAACGAGGAAUUAGGGUUUGAUUUCGGAGAGGGAGCCUGAGAAACGGCUACCACAUCUACGGAUGGCAGCAGGCGCGCAAAUUACCCAAUGCAGACACUGUGAGGUAGUGACGAGAAAUAAUAAAGCGGGACUUCUGUUUCGCUAUUAUAAUGAGGAAUAACCAAAGGUCAUUCCGAUUAGCAACUGAUGGGAAAGUCUGGUGCCAGCAGCCGCGGUAAUACCAGCGUCAGUAGC